rnacentral:rRNA from 1 species
CUGCUUGCAGGGUACUCGAGUGGCGAACGGGUGAGUAACACGUGGGUGAUCUGCCCUGCACUUCGGGAUAAGCUUGGGAAACUGGGUCUAAUACCGGAUAGGAACCAUCUUUAGUGUGGUGGUUGGAAAGUUUUUUCGGUGUAGGAUGAGCUCGCGGCCUAUCAGCUUGUUGGUGGGGUAAUGGCCUACCAAGGCGGCGACGGGUAGCCGGCCUGAGAGGGUGUACGGCCACAUUGGGACUGAGAUACGGCCCAGACUCCUACGGGAGGCAGCAGUGGGGAAUAUUGCACAAUGGGCGCAAGCCUGAUGCAGCGACGCCGCGUGGGGGAUGAAGGCCUUCGGGUUGUAAACUCCUUUCGCUAGGGACGAAGCUUUGUGUGACGGUACCUAGAUAAGAAGCACCGGCAAACUA